rnacentral:lncRNA from 1 species
CUGAAAAUUCUGCAACACCAAAUAUGUAUUUCCAUAUAUCAACUUGAGCUUGUUCUUCUUCUUCUUUUUCUUCCUCCUCCUUCUCCCAUGUUACCUCACUAUGUAUUUCUUCCAUUUUUAGCUAAGUCUCUCUUAAUUGCUACUAUAUAGUAGUGAACUGGUGAUGAUUUUGGUUGAAACUAGAAACUUCAUUUUUAGAAGUUAGCAACACAUGGAUGAUGGAUCACGUUGUCUUUCUUUUAAUAUUAUUAAUGAAUAUGACCUAUCACCUUGCCUUUGCAAGUUGGUGUGUAAAUUGUCCACACCAAUACAAAAC